UACAGAGGUCUCAAGCGUUGUUCGGAUUCAGUUGGGCGUAAAGGGUGCGUAGGCGGCGCGGUAAAGUCGGGUGUGAAAUCUCGGGGCUUAACGUCCGAAACUGGCAUUCGAUACUGCCGGUGCUUGAGGGAACUGGGAGAGGAGACUGGAAUUUACGGUGCAGCGGUGAAAUGCGUAGAUAUCGUAAGGAAGACCAGUGGCGAGGGCGGGUCUCGUGGACAGUUCCGUGACGCUGAGGCACGAAGGUCAGGGGGAGCAAAACGGGGAUUAGAAAACCCCGGGG
rnacentral:rRNA from 1 species